rnacentral:rRNA from 1 species
AGAGUUUGAUCAUGGCUCAGAAUUAACGCUGGCGGCAUGCCUAACACAUGCAAGUCGCACGAGAAAGCCCGGUUCGCCGGGCGAGUAAAGUGGCGCACGGGUGAGUAACGCGUGGAUAAUCUACCUCCUUCUGGGGGAUAACCCAUCGAAAGGUGGGCUAAUACCGCAUAAUCCGGCUGAAUUUUGGUUUGGUCGGCAAAGGUGGCCUCUUGAUCAAAGCUACCGGGAAGAGAUGAGUCCGCGUCCCAUUAGCUUGUUGGUAGGGUAACGGCCUACCAAGGCGACGAUGGGUAGCUGGUCUGAGAGGACGAUCAGCCACACUGGAACUGGUACACGGUCCAGACUCCUACGGGAGGCAGCAGUGAGGAAUAUUGCGCAAUGGGGGAAACCCUGACGCA